rnacentral:rRNA from 1 species
UACAGAGGUCCCAACCGUUGUUCGGAUUUAUUGGGCGUAAAGGGUGCGUAGGCGGCGGGGCAAGUCAGGUGUGAAAUCUCGGGGCUCAACCCCGAAACUGCACUUGAUACUGCCUUGCUUGAGUACUGGAGAGGAGACUGGAAUUUACGGUGUAGCAGUGAAAUGCGUAGAUAUCGUAAGGAAGACCAGUGGCGAAGGCGAGUCUCUGGACAGUUACUGACGCUGAGGCACGAAGGCCAGGGGAGCAAACGGG